rnacentral:lncRNA from 1 species
UAAUAUAAAAUGAGAGCAUUAUAAUCCAUGAUCUCAUGUGUCGCUGCCAGCUAAUGAGUCUAGGAAACAAGCAUAGCAUGAGCAUCGCACUUUUUUUUUAUGUGGAAUAAUAUCAUCACAUAGGUAACUAAGGCCCUGGGUUAAUAUUCCGAGUCCACUGCUCACUUGCAUAACAUUAUUGAGCAAAUAACAUAAUUACCCUAAACUUCAAUGUCCUGUGAGUAAAGUGGAAUUAAUGAUGGUGUCUACCUCACAGGAUGGUUGUGAUCUCUGAAUACAAUCUUAUCAAGUAUUAAUUUAAUAUUAAUUAAUAUUUAAUUGAAAUAUGGUAUGUAGUGUGUAGUGGGUACUUUAAUAAUUCUUAGCUGUUUUUAUCAUUAUUUUAAAAUCCUAUUAAUGCCUAGAAAAAUAUAACUUUAAAAAGUAAAAAAGAGGAGUAAACGUAAAGUAAGCAAAGAGGAGUACAGCUUUUUAAUGGGCUUCUUCCCCUCCCUGCGUGCCCCUCUGCAGAAUGCGAUAAGUUGCGGCAUGGUGGACAAACUGGUAAAAUCAAAAUUGAGCCUGUAUUUUAAUCAAUAGUAUUGUCUCAAGUGAAUUUCUUGGUUUUGACAAACCCAGCCUUCCUCCCAAUUCUGUAUAUGGGAAAACAACUAAGGCACAAAGGUUGUCUUCCCGCAAAAGACCAAGACUUGGGGCUUCAACUGAGA